rnacentral:rRNA from 1 species
GGAUGGUAUGGAGGGACUCUGACAGCCAUGCCGCGUGCAGGAAGACAGCCCUCUGGGUCGUAAACUGCUUUUAUUCGGGAAUAAACCUUUCUACGUGUAGGAAGCUGAAUGUACCGAAGGAAUAAGGAUCGGCUAACUCCGUGCCAGCAGCCGCGGUAAUACGGAGGAUCCAAGCGUUAUCCGGAUUUAUUGGGUUUAAAGGGUGCGUAGGCGGCUUAUUAAGUCAGGGGUGAAAGACGGUGGCUCAACCAUCGCAGUGCCCUUGAUACUGAUGAGCUUGAAUACACUAGAGGUAGGCGGAAUGUGACAAGUAGCGGUGAAAUGCAUAGAUAUGUCACGGAACACCGAUUGCGAAGGCAGCCUACUAUGGUGUUAUUGACGCUGAGGCACGAAAGCGUGGGGAUCAAACAGGAUUAGAUACCCUGGUAGUCCACGCCCUAAACGAUGAAUACUCGCUGUUAGCGAUAUACAGUUAGCGGCUAAGCGAAAGCGUUAAGUAUUCCACCUGGGGAGUACGCCCGCAAGGGUGAAACUCAAAGGAAUUGACGGGGGCCCGCACAAGCGGAGGAGCAUGUGGUUUAAUUCGAUGAUACGCGAGGAACCUUACCCGGGCUUGAAAGUUAGUGAAUGAUCUAGAGAUAGAUCAGUGAGCAAUCACACGAAACUAGGUGCUGCAUGGCUGUCGUCAGCUCGUGCCGUGAGGUGUUGGGUUAAGUCCCGCAACGAGCGCAACCCCUAUGUUUAGUUGCCAGCACGUUAAGGUGGGGACUCUAAACAGACUGCCUGUGCAAACAGAGAGGAAGGAGGGGACGACGUCAAGUCAUCAUGGCCCUUACGUCCGGGGCUACACACGUGCUACAAUGGAUGGUACAGAGGGCAGCAAGCUGGCAACAGCAAGCGAAUCUCAAAAAGCCAUUCACAGUCGGAUAGAGGUCUGCAACUCGACUCUUGAGUGGAUCCGCUAGUAUCGCGUAUCAGCAUGACGCGUGAAUACGUUCCCGGGCCUUGUACCAACCGCCAAGGCGAAUUCCACAUGGGCUGACG